rnacentral:tRNA from 1 species
AUGAAUAUAAUUCAAAGGUAGAAUAUACACUUGUGGCGUGUAGUAUCUAAGUUCAAUUCUUAGUAUUCAUC